rnacentral:piRNA from 1 species
UGCAAAGUACUGGCGCCAUGUGUCUACCAGG